rnacentral:rRNA from 1 species
CGGCGAACGGGUGAGUAACACGUGGGCAACCUUUCCCAUCGUGGGGGAUAACACCGGGAAACCGGUGCUAAUACCGCAUGUGGUCGCUGGAGGCAUCUCCAGCGAAGAAAGCAGCAAUGCGCGAUGGGGUGGGCCCGCGGCCUAUCAGCUUGUCGGUGGGGUAACGGCCUACCGAGGCGUUGACGGGUAGCUGGUCUGAGAGGACGACCAGCCACACGGGGACUGAGACACGGCCCCG